ensembl:lncRNA LINC02436 long intergenic non-protein coding RNA 2436
GGCACUCUGGGAAGGCAACCUAGGAAGGGUGGGGCCCUGGGGCCUUUUGAGGAGCUAAGUGGCCAAGGAGAGUGCUUUGUGAGUCUCUUGUUGGAAGGACUGUCUUUAAAUUAAAGCAAUUAGAGUUACUUUAUAAGAUUUACCCAAAUAUAAGAGCUGAAGAGAAUAAUUCAAAUUGAUCAGAAGAAAAUACUCAAUUACUGACAAAUGUCAAUUACAUCAAUAGCCUAGGCUGCUCUUGAACUCCUGGGCUCAAACGAUCCUCCCCUGUCGGCCUCCCAAAGUGCUGGGAUUACAAGCUUGAACCACCAUGCCCAGCCUCAGAAAUUUUUUAAAUGACAGCUCAUACAGUUUUCUUUUAUAAAGCCAUCAACCUCCCACUUCCUCCAAGGCAGCAGAUCCUGCUUCCCACAGCAGAGGCUGUGGAAACGCCUGGCACUCUCCUUCCCAGUGUUCCUUCCAACUCCGGGCAUAUGGCAAGGUUAGGGAUGACAUGAAAUAGAGGAGUCUGCUGGGACAGCUUCUGGAAAGGUUUUCACUCUGAUAAGAAGAGGAGAGACCUGAGGAGUUGUCUGUCCGCCCCGAAGGCGCCCCUUUCCCCUGCCUGCUGAUGAGGCUGCCUGCUGAAGGGAUGCCUGGAGCAGCUGCAGCUUCCCCCAGGCCUGGGGGCUGAGCCGGACCAUGAGAAGCCAGCAUGCUGAGGAUGGUGGAGCACGGGGCAGCUGGAGGCUGGGUGCUUGGUGGCCUUUUGGAGUUGCCAAACCAACCCUGGAGCCUGGAGCCCCAGCACUGUUGUCAUUUGAGAUGAUCAGUGUCUUCAUUGUUUAAGACACUUUUAGUUGGAUAUUGUCACUUGCAGCCAAGAAUCUUUAAACUUACACAUUGUGGAAGGAAUGCCUAAAGAAGGACUGAAGCAAUUUUCUUUCAAUCACCGAUAUCUGAAAAUAGAGCUUUACUGAGAAAAAGGAAAAGAUUCAGACUCCUUUAUCUGCCCCUUGAGUAUACAAGCACCUAAGCCUCGGGACUCAUACAUGUUGGAUUCUCUCGCACAGUAAAGAAAAUAACACUC